AGAGUUUGAUCAUGGCUCAGAUUGAACGCUGGCGGUAUGCUUAAGACAUGCAAGUCGUGCGGUAGAAGGCUUCGGCCUUUGAGAGCGGCGGACGGGUGAGUAACACGUGGGAAUCUACCUAUUAGUGGGGGACAGCCCAGCGAAAGCUGGAUUAAUACCGCAUACGCCCUACGGGGGAAAGCAGCAAUGCGCUAAUAGAUGAGCCCGCGUAAGAUUAGCUAGUUGGUAAGGUAAAGGCUUACCAAGGCGACGAUCUUUAGCUGGUCUGAGAGGAUGGCCAGCCACAUCGGGACUGAGACACGGCCCGGACUCCUACGGGAGGCAGCAGUCGGGAAUAUUGGUCAAUGGGCGGAAGCCUGAACCAGCCAUGCCGCGUGCAGGAAGACGGCCCUAUGGGUUGUAAACUGCUUUUGUCAGGGGAUAAACCUAUCUACGUGUAGAUAGCUGAAGGUACCUGAAGAAUAAGGAUCGGCUAACUCCGUGCCAGCAGCCGCGGUAAUACGGAGGAUCCGAGCGUUAUCCGGAUUUAUUGGGUUUAAAGGGUGCGCAGGCGGACUGGUAAGUCAGGGGUGAAAACCUACGGCUCAACUGUAGACGUGCCUUUGAUACUGCCGGACUAGAGUUAAGAUGGAGUGGGCGGAAUGUGUUGUGUAGCGGUGAAAUGCUUAGAUAUAACACAGAACACCGAUCGCGAAGGCAGCUCACUAAACUUUGACUGACGCUCAUGCACGAAAGCGUGAGGAUCAAACAGGAUUAGAUACCCUGGUAGUCCACGCUGUAAACGAUGAUCACUCGCUGUUGGCGAUAUACCGUCAGUGGCUAAGCGAAAGUGAUAAGUGAUCCACCUGGGGAGUACGACCGCAAGGUUGAAACUCAAAGGAAUUGACGGGGGCCCGCACAAGCGGAGGAGCAUGUGGUUUAAUUCGAUGAUACGCGAGGAACCUUACCAGGGCUCGAACGUACAGCGACUUGUCGAGAAAUCGGCAAUCCCUUCGGGGCGAUGUACGAGGUGCUGCAUGGUUGUCGUCAGCUCGUGCCGUGAGAUGUUGGGUUAAGUCCCGCAACGAGCGCAACCCUCGCCCCUAGUUGCCAGCAUUCAGUUGGGCACUCUAGGGGGACUGCCGGUGAUAAGCCGAGAGGAAGGUGGGGAUGACGUCAAGUCCUCAUGGCCCUUACGGGCUGGGCUACACACGUGCUACAAUGGUGGUGACAGUGGGCAGCGAAGCCGCGAGGCCGAGCUAAUCUCCAAAAGCCAUCUCAGUUCGGAUUGCACUCUGCAACUCGGGUGCAUGAAGUUGGAAUCGCUAGUAAUCGUGGAUCAGCAUGCCACGGUGAAUACGUUCCCGGGCCUUGUACACACCGCCCGUCACACCAUGGGAGUUGGCUUUACCCGAAGGUGCUGUGCUAACCGCAAGGAGGCAGGCAACCACGGUAGGGUCAGCGACUGGGGUGAAGUCGUAACAAGGUAGCCAAGGGCGAA
rnacentral:rRNA from 1 species